rnacentral:rRNA from 1 species
GAUGAACGCUGGCGGCGUGCUUAACACAUGCAAGUCGAGGGGUAACAGAGAGUAGCUUGCUACUUUGCUGACGACCGGCGCACGGGUGCGUAACACGUAUGCAACCUACCUCUUACUGGGGAAUAGCCCAGAGAAAUUUGGAUUAACACCCCAUAGUAUCAUUCUUCCGCAUGGUUGAAUGAUUAAAGGUUACGGUAAGAGAUGGGCAUGCGCCCCAUUAGCUAGUUGGUGAGGUAACGGCUCACCAAGGCUACGAUGGGUAGGGGGUCUGAGAGGACUAUCCCCCACACUGGUACUGAGACACGGACCAGACUCCUACGGGAGGCAGCAGUGAGGAAUAUUGCGCAAUGGACGAAAGUCUGACGCAGCCAUGCCGCGUGCAGGAUGACGGCGCUACGCGUUGUAAACUGCUUUUAUAUGCCAAGAAACCUUCGGACGUGUCCGAAGCUGACGGUAGCAUAUGAAUAAGCACCGGCUAACUCCGUGCCAGCAGCCGCCGUA